AACGAACGCUGGCGGCAUGCCUAACACAUGCAAGUCGAACGAGACCUUCGGGUCUAGUUGCGCACGGGUGCGUAACGCGUGGGAACCUGCCCUUAGGUUCGGAAUAACUCCCCGAAAGGGGUGCUAAUACCGGAUAAUGUCUUCGGACCAACGAUUUAUCGCCUUUGGAUGGGCCCGCGUUGGAUUAGCUAGUUGGUAGUGUAAAAGCCUACCAAGGCGACGAUCCAUAGCUGGUCUGAGAGGAUGAUCAGCCACACUGGGACUGAGACACGGCCCAGACUCCUACGGGAGGCAGCAGUGGGGAAUAUUGGACAAUGGGCGAAAGCCUGAUCCAGCAAUGCCGCGUGAGUGAUGAAGGCCUUAGGGUUGUAAAGCUCUUUUACCCGGGAUGAUAAUGACAGUACCGGGAGAAUAAGCGCCGGCUAACUCCGUG
rnacentral:rRNA from 1 species